rnacentral:rRNA from 1 species
CCGCACAAGCGGAGGAGCAUGUGGUUUAAUUCGAUGAUACGCGAGGAACCUUACCUGGGCUCGAACGUAAGAUGACUGUAGGUGAAAGCUUGCAUCUCUUCGGAGCAUUUUACGAGGUGCUGCAUGGUUGUCGUCAGCUCGUGUCGUGAGAUGUUGGGUUAAGUCCCGCAACGAGCGCAACCCUUGCCUUUAGUUGCCAGCAGUUCGGCUGGGCACUCUAAAGGGACUGCCGGUGUUAAACCGGAGGAAGGUGGGGAUGACGUCAAGUCCUCAUGGCCUUUAUGACCAGGGCUACACACGUACUACAAUGGCCGAUACAAAGGGCAGCGACACUGCGAGGUGAAGCCAAUCCCGUAAAAUCGGUCUCAGUCCGGAUUGGAGUCUGCAACUCGACUCCAUGAAGUUGGAAUCGCUAGUAAUCGUGGAUCAGCAUGCCACGGUGAAUACGUUCCCGGGCCUU